UGCCAGCCGCCGCGGUAAUACGAAGGGUGCUAGCGUUGUUCGGAAUAACUGGGCGUAAAGGGCGUGUAGGCGGUCUUAUGCGUCAGAUGUGAAAGUCCUGGGCUCAACCUGGGGACGGCAUUUGAUACGGUAAGACUAGAGGUUAUGAGAGGAAAGCGGAAUUGUGCAUGUAGGAGUGAAAUCCGUAGAUAUGCACAGGAACACCAGUUGCGAAGGCGGCUUUCUGGUAUUAACCUGACGCUAAGGCGCGAAAGCGUGGGGAGCAAACAGGAUUAGAUA
rnacentral:rRNA from 1 species